rnacentral:rRNA from 1 species
AACAGAUUUCUUCGGAUUGAAGUUUUUGCGACUGAGUGGCGGACGGGUGAGUAACGCGUGGGUAACCUGCCUUACACAGGGGGAUAGCAGUUGGAAACGACUGGUAAUACCGCAUACCUUACAUUAUUCGCAUGUUUGAUGUAAGAAAGAUUUUAUCGGUGUAAGAUGGACCCGCGUCUGAUUAGCUAGUUGGUGUGGUAACGGCAUACCAAGGCGACGAUCAGUAGCCGGCCUGAGAGGGUGAACGGCCACAUUGGGACUGAGAUACGGCCCAGACUCC